rnacentral:rRNA from 1 species
GAUGAAGACCGCAGCAAGCUGCGUGUCGGUAUGUGAAUCGCAAGAAUACCAGAUACAUCGACAAGUCGAACGCACAUUGCGG